rnacentral:rRNA from 1 species
AGCGUAGGCGGACUUUUAAGUGAGAUGUGAAAUACCCAGGCUCAACCUGGGGGCUGCAUUUCAAACUGGAAGUCUAGAGUGCAGGAGAGGAGAGUGGAAUUCCUAGUGUAGCGGUGAAAUGCGUAGAGAUUAGGAAGAAUACCAGUGGCGAAGGCGCCUUCUGGACUGUAACUGACACUGAGGCUGAAAGCGUGGGGAGCAAACA